rnacentral:rRNA from 1 species
CCCUUAGAUGUCCUGGGCUGCACGCGCGCUACACUGAUGUGUUCAAUAAGCACCUAACCUACUCCGAAGGGACUGGGUAACCUUUGCAAAGCACAUCGUGAUGGGGAUAGAUUAUUGCAAUUAUUAGUCUUGAACGAGGAAUUCCUAGUAAGCGCAAGUCAUCAGCUUGUGUUGAUUACGUCCCUGCCCUUUGUACACACCGCCCGCCGCUCCUACCGAUUGAGUGAUCCGGUGAAUACUUCGGAGUGUGAACUCUACAGUUUCUGUUUUGUUCGCGCAAAGUUGAAUAAACCUUAUCACUUAGAGGAAGGAGAAGUCGUAACA